CCUACGGGAGGCAGCAGUGGGGAAUCUUGCGCAAUGGGCGAAAGCCUGACGCAGCAACGCCGCGUGCGGGAAGAAGGCUUUCGGGCUGUAAACCGCUUUCAGCAGGAACGAAAAUGACGGUACCUGCAGAAGAAGGAGCGGCCAACUAUGUGCCAGCAGCCGCGGUGAUACAUAGGCUUCAAGCGUUGUCCGGAUUUAUUGGGCGUAAAGAGUUCGUAGGCGGUCGAGUAAGUCGGGUGUGAAAAUUCUGGGCUCAACCCAGAGACGCCACCCGAUACUGCUUGACUUGAGUUCGAUAGGGGAGUGGGGAAUUCCUAGUGUAGCGGUGAAAUGCGCAGAUAUUAGGAGGAACACCGGUGGCGAAGGCGCCACUCUGGAUCGAUACUGACGCUGAGGAACGAAAGCAUGGGUAGCAAACAGGAUUAGAUACCCUGGUAGUCCAUGCCGUAAACGGUGGGCACUAGGUGUGGGUUUCUAUUAACGAAAUCCGCGCCGUCGCUAACGCAUUAAGUGCCCCGCCUGGGGAGUACGGUCGCAAGACUAAAACUCAAANANAUGCG
rnacentral:rRNA from 1 species